UACGUAGGGACCGAGCGUUGUCCGGAAUCAUUGGGCGUAAAGAGCGUGUAGGCGGCCACUUAAGUCCUGCGUGAAAUCUUGCGGCUCAACCGCAAGCGGUCGUGGGAAACUGGGUGGCUAGAGUGCGGGAGAGGAGAGUGGAAUUCCUGGUGUAGCGGUGAAAUGCGUAGAUAUCAGGAGGAACACCGGUGGCGAAGGCGGCUCUCUGGACCACAACUGACGCUGAGGCGCGAAAGCUAGGGGAGCAAACAGG
rnacentral:rRNA from 1 species